rnacentral:rRNA from 1 species
AGUGAACGCUGGCGGUAGGCCUAACACAUGCAAGUCGAACGGCAGCACAGUAAGAGCUUGCUCUUACGGGUGGCGACUGGCGGACGGGUGAGGAAUACAUCGGAAUCUACUUUUUCGUGGGGGAUAACGUAGGGAAACUUACGCUAAUACCGCAUACGACCUACGGGUGAAAGCAGGGGAUCUUCGGACCUUGCGCGAUUGAAUGAGCCGAUGUCGGAUUAGCUAGUUGGCGGGGUAAAGGCCCACCAAGGCGACGAUCCGUAGCUGGUCUGAGAGGAUGAUCAGCCACACUGGAACUGAGACACGGUCCAGACUCCUACGGGAGGUAGCAGUGGGGAAUAUUGGACAAUGGGCGCAAGCCUGAUCCAGCCAUACCGCGUGGGUGAAGAAGGCCUUCGGGUUGUAAAGCCCUUUUGUUGGGAAAGAAAAGCAGCAGGUUAAUACCCCGCUGUUCUGACGGUACCCAAAGAAUAAGCACCGGCUAACUUCGUG